CUCAUUGCGUCCACAGAAAUUGACGAAAUAUGCACUAUUUUUCCUUAUGUUCCUCCAUUUCUUGUUGAUAAUCCAGCGUGUUAUCUUCCCCCAUACAGAUAUUGGCCUGUGAUGUUGCUGCAGCUAGAUAGCAGCUGCUGUUUAUGCCAUCAUACUGUAUCAUCUUGAUGCACUCUCAAUUGAGUCAGCCACGUUUAUGUAUUGAAUGAAAGCAGACAAAAUUCCAACAAUUAGAACAAUUCUCAAGCGAAUUGCACCAUUCGUAAAACAACCCAAAAUCUAUACAAAGACUUUAACAAUAAUGGGAAACAUGUGUGGAAAGCUGGAAGAUGGAAAUAACACUAGCAAACACUCGGCACGUGACGGAAACAUGUUUCGAUAUGAUCCGUCUAGCUAUUCUUUGAAUUUCGAUGAUGGAAGACGAGAAAAUAAUGUGAAAGUUAAUAUGCCUGGUGGGUUUUCUUCAAAAAUUUCAACUCCUCAAUCCAAAAAUCUUCUGGAGAGAUAAAUGAUGAAGAUACAGUUAAUAAAGAAAAUAUGCAUGUAAUCAAUGUACCAUAACCAACUAUACAUGUAUAUUGAAAAGUAACUGCAUUAUAUAAUGAAUUUAAAGAAAAAUAAUAAAAAGAAAC